rnacentral:rRNA from 1 species
ACCUAUCCAUGGUCAGGGUGAAGCUCUCUUAACCGUGAGUGGAGGCCCGAACCGAUGUUUGUUGCAAAAGACUCGGAUGAACUGUGGAUAGCGGUGAAAUGCCAAUCGAACUUCGUAAUAGCUGGUUCUCCCCGAAAUAGCUCUAGGGCUAGCGUCGGGAUUUAAACACUGGGGGUAGAGCACUGACAGAGCUAGGGGCCCUGACCGGUUACUGAACUCCAUCAAACUCCGAAUACCAGUGUGAAUAUCCCGGCAGUCAGACUACGUGGGAUAAGCUGCGUGGUCAAAAGGGAAACAGCCCAGAUCGUCUGCUAAGGUCCCUAAAUUUCAGCUAAGUGGUAAAGGAAGUCAGAAUUCUUAGACAGCCAGGAGGUUGGCUUAGAAGCAGCCACCCUUAAAAGAGUGCGUAAUAGCUCACUGGUCGAUGUUUUCUGGCGCCGAAAAUGUAGCGGGG